AAGUCGUAACAAGGUUUCCGUAGGUGAACCUGCGGAAGGAUUAUUAAAAAUGUUAAGAAUACUUUAUUCUUAAAUCCCUUCUGUGUACUUGUACUUGUUGCUUCCGUGGGCUGCUGGCUUUGUGCCAGCAUCUGCCUUGAUGGUGGACCCACAGAAGGUAUUCAUAAACUCUGCCCUUUGGUGAUAUCAGUCUGAAUAUGUUUAUUAAGUAAACUUUAAAACUUUCAACAACGGAUCUCUUGGUUCUC
rnacentral:misc_RNA from 1 species